rnacentral:rRNA from 1 species
CCCUUAGAUGUUCUGGGCCGCACGCGCGCUGCAAUGGCAGACUCAGCGAGUUACCUCUGUCGAAAGGCACAGGGAAUCUUUACAGUAUCUGCCGUGAUGGGGAUAGACCCUUGUAAUUUUUGGUCUUCAACGAGGAAUUCCUAGUAAACGCAAGUCAUUAACUUGCAUUGAUUACGUCCCUGCCCUUUGUACACACCGCCCGUCGCACCUACCGAUUGAAUGGUCCGGUGAAGUCCUCGGACCCAGUUGAACCUCGAGUUGAACAGGGAAAGUUGAUUAAAUCUUACCAUUUAGAGGAAGGUGAAGUCGUAACA